CGUAGGGUGCGAGCGUUGUCCGGAAUUAUUGGGCGUAAAGAGCUUGUAGGCGGUUUUGUUCGCGUCUGCCGUGAAAAUCCCGGGGCUCAACUCCGGACUUGCGGUGGGUACGGGCAGACUAGAGUGUGGUAGGGAGACUGGAAUUCCUGGUGUAGCGGUGAAAUGCGCAGAUAUCAGGAGGACACCGAUGGCGAAGGCAGGUCUCUGGGCCACUACUGACGCUGAGAAGCGAAAGCGUGGGGGAGCGGAACAGGAUU
rnacentral:rRNA from 1 species